UUUUAAUUGAACACCAGAACUUGAGCUACUCUCGACCGCGCUAUAUCCCAUGGCGAUUGAAAAAAUUCUUAAAGAUGACGCUAGUGAAGAGAAGGGGGAGCGUGCCAGAAUGGCAUCAUUUGUUGGGGCAAUUGCAAUUUCUGACUUGGUUAAGACAACAAAAAUUAGCUGACCCUGUUCCCAUAUGUAAUGGGAUGAGGGGAGGUAAGGAGUAGACUGCCCCCAACUCUAGGUUGAGAGCAGCUUCCGCGAAAAACCUCGGUAGUCAGAAUUAUGAAUUGUCCACCGUGGAACUCGAUCCCACGAUCACAAAGUUAAGAGCUUUGCGCUCUACCAACUGAGCUGGACGGACAAUUCUGACUUGGUUAAGACAACCCUAGGGCCAAAAGGAAUGGAUAAAAUUUUACAGUCGACGGGCAGAGGACAAGAAGUCGUUGUUACUAAUGAUGGAGCUACCAUCUUAAAGUCCCUUCAUAUCGACAACCCUGCUGCAAAAGUUUUAAUUGAUAUCUCCAAAGUUCAAGAUGAUGAGGUUGGUAAUGGGAACUGUUGUUUUGGUUGGAGAACUUUUAAGGGAGG